UCCCUGGUGGCUCAGUGGUAAAGAAUCUGCCUACAAUGCAGGAGACCCAGGUUCAACCCCUGGGUUGGGAA
rnacentral:tRNA from 1 species